GAGCUCAUCGUUAGCGAAUCACAUUUCCAACAGCACAUUUGGCAGCACGUGGGAAUGAUGCCAAGCUACUUCCAACACAUUGCCCACACCUAGACACAUGGAUUAGGAUCCAGAUUUCACGCUGAUUAUCAUCCUCCAUUAGAUCACCGUAUGGGUUGGCUUGAAAACCUUAUAAAAACACACCCAUCAUCUUGUAUUAAGGAAUUUUUGAAUGAAAUGAGAGUUUAUCAUGCUAAAGCAUUUCCAGCAAUCAGACUCUGCCCAAAAGUCACUCUACUUGAGCUUUCCCACCUCCAACUAGCUUCCUUCCAGUGAAGGCCGUCUAAGCUAGAUAUUUCACCCUCCAAACAACUCUUCAUCCAUCAUCAACAUCACCGAUUCACCUCUGCAUCAUCGCUACCAAACUCUGGUUCAUUUCUUCUGCUGCCAAUUGAAUCCUAUGAGCCAACUCCACCUCUACUGCCAUAUCCAUACAUCAUUCUGUUGCUUCAUAUCAUCCAUUAGCUGGAAUGUAACUCAUCAAGUGGUAUCCAGAACUCUGGUUUUCCACAUCACACUCCAGCUAAAAUUAUCUCAGGUAAUCCCACAACACUGCUGGUAGCAUCCUAGGAAGUGGUUUCAAGCAAGGAAAGAUCAACAUUGGAGCUGAUUUUUUGGUGUUGCAGAAUGAUCCCUACUGGUGUGCACAAAAUGCUGCUACUGUAGCCACUGUUUACAAUAGUUUAAAGUCCUCAUUCCCGAAAGCUGUGAGACUUGUUUGCUUGUCCAAAAAUCAAUAAAUCCUUCUUUGAGAGAAGCCAAAGCUACAUUGCUCCACUUUCCUCUUUCUUUUGGGUAAAUUGUAUUAGUUUCUUACUUCCAAUUCUUGUAACAAGGCCAUUAAGCAAGUGACUUGGAAGAAUUCACAAGUGUUCUUCCAUCACUUGCACACUUGACUCUUUAAUUCUUCAUUAAAAUUGGUAGACAGUGAGUGUGUCUUGGAUCCAAAGUUCCAAGCCUCACCUAGGAGACCUCACUUCUUUCAA